GGAUAAAGACAACUGGUGAUACUAGCAAUAGAGUAGCAGACCAGCAUUCACGGGAGCAGUGUGAGAAGAGCAUGCUUUCUAGAAGCAGUAAUGUUACCCAGGAAUUGCCACUUCUAGAGGAUACCCAUGAUGCUUGAUAAUGGAGAGCUGACAGCAUGGGGAAAUCCUCCAUUCCUUGGAUAUUUCUACAGUCAAGGAUGAGGGUGACUUACUACAAAAGCCUGAAUGUCAUGUUGUUCAAGAGAAAGGCAGCAGUAACGGACCAGCUCAGUCACAAAGGGUUGCUUGGAAAAUGGAAUUCAAAAACUUGCCUGGGCUUGUUUAAGUAUAGUCUUAAGAUAAAUGUUCUUGAGAAACAGUGUGGUCACAUGGCCUGUGAUGGUUAUACAGAGCUGCACAGUCUUCAUGGGGAAGAAAGAGUCUUAGAGAGCAGACGUGGAGAUGAGUCAUGGAUAUCUUCUUAGAGAGCGAAUGUGAAGAUGAUUCAUGGAUUUCUUGAAUGAUUACAGUAGAUUACUUCAGCAUUAUCCCAGAUAAAAGUGCCACUCACCUUUUAGUUCCUGUAGAAAUCAGUUCACGGAGGAAAGCACAGUUCUGGAUAUCAUUUAUGUAUUAUGUACUCACUCAGCCUACAGCACGCUUUCCAAAAUUGACCUGUGAUGCCACCAAAAAGACUCUGGCUCCAGUAGCAACCUAAACUCGCAUCUGGGAGUAUACGCUUCCAGAUAGUAUUUUGUUACUAGCAAGAUGCUAAGCAGAAAGAUGUUAUAGUGCAUAUCUGAGCUUUGUAAACAUAACAUGCAUAUUUGCUAAUAACCUUAAAGCAUAUUUAACUGUUUGUAUCCUCAUAUUAAAGGUUUCGCACAUCUCCACCUGAAAUGUUGUUUGAAACACCUCUAUUCAAUAAAGGACAGAAGUAACAGAG